GGUUAAUUUAACCUUGGGUGCUGGCUCCUGGGCUUAUCUUGCAUGAGCUGCAGUUUGUAGUUGGAGACUAGGGUCCGGGGUGCUGAAGCAAGUGGUCCCGCAUCCCUCGGGAAGCUUAAGUUUAGCCACGAGACUAUGGCGCUCUCUGCAGAGAAGAGGAGAGAAAAGGCAGAAGAGAGACAGGAAAGAGCACCCCUACCACAGACAAGAAGGCACACGUAUUCCUGAUCUCUGCCUUGGCUCCCUGCGCAACCCUGGAUGGAGGCACAGCGUCCUGGCUCUGAAUUUGCCCAGCUGUGUCAUCCCCCUUAAGACUGAUGACCCCAAGAUAAGAGUAGCUGAAGUAAUCUGCAGGGUUUGCAAGGACAUCUGACCACAGCCUUUACAAUGCACAAUUCCAGACCCCCUGGAAUGUCUCCAGCCUUUGUCCUAAGCCUGCAGUCACCUUGGAUUCCAGAAAAAGCACAGCAUCUCCGACCACCGGACGGCGAGGUCACCCCCAAGAAGGACACUCACUGAUGGUGGGAGUGGGGCUGCCCUCAUGGGAAGCCACUGUGGGAACAGAAUGAUCCCUGGCUCUCCUGGACCUCCCAGCAGUGCUCCUGGGCACCCAUGGGUCAGCCCAUGGCUUCGCCAGGAUGGCCUGAACUGACAGUGAUGCUUACCUUGGUUCCCCUUUUCUAGCAAAGCCCAAAGCUUUUUCCAGCCCCUCACAGAUAGAUGGUGGUGCUUUCUGUCUUGGCUGUACUGAUUCAAAUUCCCUUUCCUGCCCUAACCAGCACUUCUCUCCUCAGUUGGCUGUGGGGCAGGUGCCUGUGGCAGACCCCAGAGCUGGGGUUUUUGCUCUGAAACUUCAGCAAUAAAGGUCCUCAAUGAA
rnacentral:lncRNA from 1 species